GUGGGGAAUAUUGCACAAUGGGCGAAAGCCUGAUGCAGCAACGCCGCGUGAGUGAUGAAGGCCUUCGGGUCGUAAAACUCUGUCCUCAAGGAAGAUAAUGACGGUACUUGAGGAGGAAGCCCCGGCUAACUACGUGCCAGCAGCCGCGGUAAUACGUAGGGGGCUAGCGUUAUCCGGAUUUACUGGGCGUAAAGGGUGCGUAGGCGGUCUUUCAAGUCAGGAGUGAAAGGCUACGGCUCAACCGUAGUAAGCUCUUGAAACUGGGAGACUUGAGUGCAGGAGAGGAGAGUGGAAUUCCUAG
rnacentral:rRNA from 1 species